CAAGUCCUCAUGGCCUUUAUGACCAGGGCUACACACGUGUUACAAUGGGAGUUACAGAGGGAAGCUAAACCGCGAGGUCAUGCCAAUCCCAGAAAACUUUCUCAGUUCGGAUCGCAGUCUGCAACUCGACUGCGUGAAGCUGGAAUCGCUAGUAAUCGCGGAUCAGCACGCCGCGGUGAAUACGUUCCCGGGCCUUGUACACACCGCCCGUCACACCAUGGGAGCCGACAAGGGCAGAAGUCGCCGAGCUAACCCAGCACCUUUUUUGGGUAUGGAGCAUGAGAAUAUUAUUCAGAUAUUCGUGCCCAAAAAUGGUGCUGGGAGGCAGGCGCCCAAGCUGUUGUUGACGACUGGGGUGAAGUCGUAACAAGGUAGCCGUAGGAGAACCUGCGGCUGGAUCACCUCCUUUCUAAGGACGCCGGAGAUGCUUUAUGCUUAUCUCCGGAUAGUCAAAGUCGAAACAGACUCUCUUCUCUUCUCUCCCUUUUCUCCUGUAAAUGCUAAGUUAUGAAUUUAGAGCAACGAAGAAAUUGAAUUCGUUACUGUGGACUCCUAAUUUCAAGAGGGGCCUGUAGUCAGCUUGGUUAGAGCGCAUCCCUGAUAAGGAUGAGGCCGGUGGUUCAAGUCCACCCAGGCCCACCAGCUCAUUUUUGAUUUAGAUAUGGAUUUGGAUUUAGCGGCUAUGAUGGUGGCAAAUCUGGGGUCUGGUAAUCCAAAUCAGAUAUUAAAGGUCGGGGGAUUAGCUCAGCUGGUAGAGCGCCUGCUUUGCAAGCAGGAGGUCAGCGGUUCGACCCCGCUAUCCUCCACCAAAUUAAUGAACAGUAAAAAAAGGUGGUGCAGCUUAGCAGAAGAUAAGCUUCAGCAAUUAUUUAAUAAUUUCUGAAUUUUAUUUUUUAAUUUCUUAGACAAUUAAAUCGGAGGUUUUGGAGACACAAGAUCAAAUGUGAGGGUCUCCAAGGGUUGACGAUCUUGACUGUUAAAGUCAGGUAGUAAGGGCGCAGGGCGGAUGCCUUGGCUCUGGGAAGCGAAGAAGGACGUGGCCAGCUGCGAUAAGCCUCGGG
rnacentral:sRNA from 1 species